rnacentral:lncRNA from 1 species
CCAGAUAUACAAGCAUAUAAGCCAGUCCAGCAGCCUGAAAGGAGGGAACCAACAGGCAGAAGAAGUUGAGGAAGCAGGACCGCAAGAAGAGGGCGAUACGUUCGGCCUGCCUUCUGUGACCAGCGCGAUGCCACCCAGCACGCAAACAGGCCAUGGCAGCACGUUCUCCCUGCAGAAGCGUAAAGAAUGAUCAGCCUGUUCAAGUACCGAAGGGAACCCUUUUUAGAUAGGAGGGUGUCACUGAAAACACCAGCAGCAUUUGAGGUUUCGAGCUUAAUUCAUGUUAUGUUGAGUCGGCUUAGGUUGAUAUGGUAAUUGACCUUACAUUAGUUAUCCAGGCGCCAAAUGCAAAGGAGGCUAGGCGACUGGGGAGAUUUUGACGGCAGCCUGCAAGACUUGUGUAAUGCAAGUAUAUCGCUCACGAUGCCAGCAUACUCUUGAUGGCAAUAUUUCACUGCAGCCUUUUAUUCGUGUGUUCCGAUGUCAGUUUUACAUGUUCACAGUUUGCAUGCCGUCCUACUCUAUUUACUUCUGCAAUGGUUUUACUCUGGAUUUUCGUUCUUAGCAGUAAGUCUCUGGAUUUUCGUUGAGAAUCCGUGGCAAGAUUUCUCUACGGAUUUGGAUUCUACCAAUGAUUGGCCAUUUGGAAAGGAAAACGCUUGGUUUCUAAUGCUGGAGAGUAACUUAGACUAGUAACAUAUAUAUGUUGGGUCCGUCUAUGUCACAUCUAGAUGUGAGAUAAGUUUUUU